rnacentral:pre_miRNA from 14 species
UACAAGGACAAGCUCCGAUCCUAGUAGUGCCAAAGUGCUCAUAGUGCAGGUAGGUUUUGCUGCACUCUACUGCAGUGUGAGCACUUCUGGUACUCUUCGAAUCAACCAAACCCUCGUUGAC